GUGCUUGUGGACGUCCCGGAGCUAGCCCUGAGCUUUCUGACCUGCCCCCGUCGUCCCCCCCGUCCGGUCGCCAUCCCUGAACGCCCCGCCCCGCGGUUCCGGCCCCGGCCCCCGCCAGAGGCUUUCCCUGUCCCAGGAACUGAGGAACAUGAAGAAUGACACAGGGUGGGGAGAGAAUCUAAUGAAACCUAGGGGGAAAUUUACUGUUGUGUAAGGGAAAUUCUGUGAUAGCAUUAGAGGAUAAGAAACUACAUUUAUGGAUUAAAAUCUGAGCAUCCGAUGGUGGAGGAGGAAGAAAGAAGAGUCCUGGUGUGGAGCUGUGAGGCAAGAGGAGCGGAGGACUGAUGAGGUGGCAAGAGAAAGGCAGCCAGGGUAAAAGGAACCCCCUGUCACCGGGGCUGUGGUCAUGUGAGAGCAUAGCUGGUUUGUGCUGGGUGCCCUCCCUGUAAGCAGGGCUGGGUCUUUGCACUUUUUUUGGCUGUUUGGUCUGUUGCUCCUCUGGCUGCCCAGAGAGUGCCCCCCCCCUGUAGGCAGGGCGAGAGGCAGCGUCUCCGCUACC